rnacentral:rRNA from 1 species
CUGGCUCAGGAUGAACGCUAGCUACAGGCUUAACACAUGCAAGUCGUGGGGCAGCAUGGAGUUUGCUUGCAAACUCUGAUGGCGACCGGCGCACGGGUGAGUAACGCGUAUCCAACCUGGCCCUUAGUAGGGGAUAGCCCGGCGAAAGUCGGAUUAAUACCCUAUGUUUUCCAAUGCGGACAUCUAAAAUGGAACAAAGGCUUGCCGCUAAGGGAUGGGGAUGCGUCUGAUUAGGUAGUCGGCGGGGUAACGGCCCACCGAGCCAUCGAUCAGUAGGGGUUCUGAGAGGAAGGUCCCCCACAUUGGAACUGAGACACGGUCCAAACUCCUACGGGAGGCAGCAGUGAGGAAUAUUGGUCAAUGGGCGAGAGCCUGAACCAGCCAAGUAGCGUGCAGGAUGACGGCCCUAUGGGUUGUAAACUGCUUUUAUGCGGGGAUAAAGUGCGGGACGUGUCCCGUUUUGUAGGUACCGCAUGAAUAAGGACCGGCUAAUUCCGUGCCAGCAGCCGC